GUUCUUCAAUUUCCAUUAAUCUUACUCCAAAACUGGUAUUAAAGAAGAUGCUCUGUUCAUAGUUCACAGAAGAAUUCUCCUGAACACAAAAACACAAUGCCUCAAAAGCUGCAACAGAAAGCAGUUGUCAACUUCUGACUUUGCUUAUGUUUUAUGUUCAUUUCCUUAAUUAUUUAUCUGCGGUCUGUCACUGGACAUAGUCCUAACAUCUAGGUGUUGGAUCACAGCAACAAGAAAUCUAACACAGGAAGUAGGGGAUAAUGAAAAAUGGGAACAAUCA